rnacentral:rRNA from 1 species
AACGAACGCUGGCGGCAGGCUUAACACAUGCAAGUCGAACGCAUCGCAAGAUGAGUGGCAGACGGGUGAGUAACGCGUGGGAACAUACCCUUUUCUACGGAAUAGCUCUGGGAAACUGGAAUUAAUACCGUAUACGCCCUACGGGGGAAAGAUUUAUCGGGGAAGGAUUGGCCCGCGUUGGAUUAGCUAGUUGGUGGGGUAAAGGCCUACCAAGGCGACGAUCCAUAGCUGGUCUGAGAGGAUGAUCAGCCACAUUGAGACUGAGACACGGCCCAAACUCCUACGGGAGGCAGCAGUGGGGAAUAUUGGACAAUGGGCGCAAGCCUGAUCCAGCCAUGCCGCGUGAGUGAUGAAGGCCUUAGGGUUGUAAGGCUCUUUCACCGAUGAAGAUAAUGACGGUAGUCGGAGAAGAAGCCCCGGCUAACUUCGUGCCAGCCGCCGCCGUAA